UCCAUCGUAGUACAAUGGCUAGUAUAUCGCUCUUUCAAUAGUUGGUAGUUCUUCUACAUCUAAGAACAGCGAAGACCCGGGUUCAAUUCCCGGCGGUGGAA
rfam:Tilletiaria anomala TBC 951 K437scaffold_96, whole genome shotgun sequence.